UACGGGGGGGGGCAAGCGUUGUUCGGAAUUACUGGGCGUAAAGGGCUCGUAGGUGGCCAACUAAGUCAGACGUGAAAUCCCCAGCUUAACCUGGGAACUGCGUCUGAUACUGGAUGGCUUGAAUUCGGGAGAGGGAUGCAGAAUUCCAGGUGUAGCGGUGAAAUGCGUAGAUAUCUGGAGGAAUACCGGUGGCGAAGGCGGCAUCCUGGACCGAGAUUGACACUGAUGAGCGAAAGCCAGGGGAGCAAACGGG
rnacentral:rRNA from 1 species